rnacentral:rRNA from 1 species
CUGCUGCCUCCCGUAGGAGUUUGGGCCGUGUCUCAGUCCCAAUGUGGCCGGUCCACCCUCUCAGGCCGGCUACUGAUCGUCGCCUUGGUGGGCCGUUACCCCGCCAACAAGCUAAUCAGACGCGGGUCCAUCUUACACCACCGGAGUUUUUCACACAAAUCCAUGCGGCUUCGUGCGCUUAUGCGGUAUUAGCACCUAUUUCUAAGUGUUACUCCCCCAGUGUAAGGCAGGUUACCCACGCGUUACUCACCCGUCCGCCACUAAG